rnacentral:rRNA from 1 species
CCUACGGGAGGCAGCAGUGAGGAAUAUUGGUCAAUGGCCGGAAGGCUGAACCAGCCAAGCCGCGUGAAGGACGAAGGUGCCAAGCAUUGUAAACUUCUUUUGUCAAGGGACAAAAUCAGGCUCGAGAGCCUGACCGAGGGUACUUGAAGAAAAAGCAUCGGCUAACUCCGUGCCAGCAGCCGCGGUAAUACGGAGGAUGCGAGCGUUAUCCGGAUUUAUUGGGUUUAAGGGGUGCGUAGGCGGACUGUUAAGUCAGCGGUAAAAGCCCGGGGCUCAACCCCGGCGAGCCGUUGAAACUGGCUGUCUUGAGAUGUCGAGAGGUAUGCGGAAUGCGCAGUGUAGCGGUGAAAUGCUUAGAUAUUGCGCAGAACUCCGAUUGCGAAGGCAGCAUACCGGCGGCGAUCUGACGCUGAGGCACGAAAGCGUGGGGAGCGAACAGGAUUAGAUACCCCUGUAGUC